UCGGCACGAUAUUGCGGUCUGCGAAAAGAGCAACGUCGGAGAUUACUCUCGAAUCACAAGAAGCUCACACGAAAGAAGCUAUGCUUGGCAAAUAAGGAUAUAGGUUGGUAAGAUUAACUUUCAAUAUGAGUUCCUGACCUUCAUAAAGUAGCAGCUGAACUACGCGAGAAGCAACCCAGCCUUCCAGCAUUAAAAGUGCACAUGCGUGCCGUAGUACAUGAUAUCGAUAAUAAAUGAGCGGCAUUUUACAUCGAUUCCCGCUAGCUGGGAUGGAUAGCACAGAAGAGCCAGGGGCACAGAUAUUGCGGCCGAAACCGUAACGAGUUUUCGCUUCUGUUGUCAAGUGCGUGCAGUGCUCCACGACAAAUCCUCGUG